rnacentral:rRNA from 1 species
CGCAUGUUAACAAAAACAUGUCCUUUUGAAUAUAUUUAAGGUCUAACCUGCCCAAUGAGGGUUUAAAUGGCCGCAGUAUUUUGACUGUGCAAAGGUAGCAUAAUUAUUAGUUUUUUAAUUGAAAGCUUGUAUGAAGGGUUGGACGAGAUAAAAUCUGUCUUUAUUUGAAUUAAAAUAGAAUUUAACUUUUAAGUCAAAAGGCUUAAAUUUUAAUAAAAGACGAGAAGACCCUAUAGAUCUUUAUUUAGUUGGAAUUUUAAUAAUUUAGGAUUAUUUUAGUUUAAAGUUUUGGCUAAAUUUUAUUGGGGUAAUAUAAAGAUUAAAAAAAUUCUUUUUAUUUAUAACAUAAAUUUAUGAAUAUAUGAUCCAAUAUUAUUGAUUAUAAGAUUAAGUUACCUUAGGGAUAACAGCGUAAUUUUUUUGGAGAGCUCAUAUCGAUAAAAAAGUUUGCGA